CCUACGGGAGGCAGCAGUGAGGAAUAUUGGUCAAUGGACGAGAGUCUGAACCAGCCAAGUAGCGUGAAGGAUGACUGCCCUAUGGGUUGUAAACUUCUUUUAUAUGGGAAUAAAACGUUCCACGUGUGGGAUUUUGUAUGUACCAUAUGAAUAAGGAUCGGCUAACUCCGUGCCAGCAGCCGCGGUAAUACGGAGGAUCCGAGCGUUAUCCGGAUUUAUUGGGUUUAAAGGGAGCGUAGGUGGAAUGUUAAGUCAGUUGUGAAAGUUUGCGGCUCAACCGUAAAAUUGCAGUUGAAACUGGCAGUCUUGAGUACAGUAGAGGUGGGCGGAAGUCGGGGAGUAGCGGUGAAAUGCUUAGAUAUCACGAAGAACUCCGAUUGCGAAGGCAGUUCACUGGACUGCAACUGACACUGAGGCUCGAAAGUGUGGGUAUCAAACAGGAUUAGAUACCCUUGUAGUC
rnacentral:rRNA from 1 species